rnacentral:rRNA from 1 species
AGAGUUUGAUCAUGGCUCAGGACGAACGCUGGCGGCGUGCUUAACACAUGCAAGUCGAGCGGAAAGGCCCUUCGGGGUACUCGAGCGGCGAACGGGUGAGUAACACGUGAGUAACCUGCCCCUGACUCUGGGAUAAGCCUGGGAAACUGGGUCUAAUACCGGAUAUGACAUCUACCCGCAUGGGUGGGGUGUGGAAAGUUUUUUCGGUUGGGGAUGGGCUCGCGGCCUAUCAGCUUGUUGGUGGGGUAGUGGCCUACCAAGGCGACGACGGGUAGCCGGCCUGAGAGGGCGACCGGCCACACUGGGACUGAGACACGGCCCAGACUCCUACGGGAGGCAGCAGUGGGGAAUAUUGCGCAAUGGGCGGAAGCCUGACGCAGCGACGCCGCGUGGGGGAUGACGGCCUUCGGGUUGUAAACCUCUUUCAGCAGGGACGAAGUUGACGUGUACCUGUAGAAGAAGCGCCGGCUAACUACGUGCCAGCAGCCGCGGUA